rnacentral:rRNA from 1 species
GACGAACGCUGGCGGCGUGCUUAACACAUGCAAGUCGAACGGAAAGGCCCUGCUUUUGUGGGGUGCUCGAGUGGCGAACGGGUGAGUAACACGUGAGUAACCUGCCCUUGACUUUGGGAUAACUUCAGGAAACUGGGGCUAAUACCGGAUAGGAUCUCCUGCUGCAUGGUGGGGGUUGGAAAGUUUCGGCGGUUGGGGAUGGACUCGCGGCUUUUGAGCUUGUUGGUGGGGUAGUUGCUUACCAAGGCUUUGACGGGUAGCCGGCCUGGAAGGGUGACAGGCCAAAGUGGAAUAGGGGAAGGGGCAGGAGGCAAACGGGAGGAAGGGGGGAGAAUAUUGCACAAUGGGCGGAAGCCUGAGGCAGAAACGCCGCGUGCGGGAUGACGGCCUUCGGGUUGUAAACAGCUUUCGCCUGUGACGAAGCGUGAGUGACGGUAAUGGGUAAAGAAGCACCGGCUAACUACGUG